GUGCAAGUCGAACGGAUAGCAAAGAAAGCUUGCUCUCGGGUGACGGAGUAGGCGGACGGGCGAGUAAUGUCUGGGAAACUGCCUGAUGGAGGGGGAUAACUACUGCAAACGGUAGCUAAUACCGCAUAACGUCGCAAGACCAAAGAGGGGGACCUUCGGGCCUCUUGCCAUCAGAUGUGCCCAGAUGGGAUUAGCUAGUAGGUGGGGUAACGGCUCACCUAGGCGACGAUCCCUAGCUGGUCUGAGAGGAUGACCAGCCACACUGGAACUGAGACACGGUCCAGACUCCUACGGGAGGCAGCAGUGGGGAAUAUUGCACAAUGGGCGCAAGCCUGAUGAAGCCAUGCCGCGUGUAUGAAGAAGGCCUUCGGGUUGUAAAGUACUUUCAGCGGGGAGGAAGGUGUUGUGGUUAAUAACCGCAGCAAUUGACGUUACCCGCAGAAAAAGCACCGGCUAACUCCGUGCCAGCAGCCGCGGUAAUACGGAGGGUGCAAGCGUUAAUCGGAAUUACUGGGCGUAAAGCGCACGCAGGCGGUCUGUCAAGUCGGAUGUGAAAUCCCCGGGCUCAACCUGGGAACUGCAUUCGAAACUGGCAGGCUGGAGUCUUGUAGAGGGGGGUAGAAUUCCAGGUGUAGCGGUGAAAUGCGUACAGAUCUGGAGGAAUACCGGUGGCGAAGGCGGCCCCCUGGACAAAGACUGACGCUCAGGUGCAAAAGCGUGGGGAGCAAACAGGAUUAUAUACCCUGGUAGUCCACGCCGUAAACGAUGUCGAAUUUGGAGGUUGGGCCCUUGAGGCGGGGCUUCCGAAGCUAACGCGUUAAAUCAACCGCCUGGG
rnacentral:rRNA from 1 species